rnacentral:rRNA from 1 species
AGAGGGUGCGAGCGUUAAUCGGAAUUACUGGGCGUAAAGCGUGCGUAGACGGUUAUUUAAGUCGGGUGUGAAAGCCCCGGGCUCAACCUGGGAAUUGCAUUCGAGACUGAAUAGCUAGGGUACGGUAGAGGGAAGUGGAAUUUCCGGUGUAGCGGUGAAAUGCGUAGAUAUCGGAAGGAACAUCAGUGGCGAAAGCGACUUCCUGGACCAGUACCGACGUUCAGGCACGAAAGCGUGGGGAGCAAACAGGAUUAGAUACCCUGGUAGUCCACGCCAUAAACGAUGAGGACUAGACGUUGGAGGGGUAAGCCUUUCAGUGUCGUAGCUAACGCGCUAAGUCCUCCGCCUGGGGAGUACGGCCGCAAGGUUGAA